GUUUUGAAAGAAAAAUCUCCAGAGUUACCAUAAGGAGAAUGCAGAAAACAAUGAUUUCAAAAUGACCCCGCCCCCCAACCUCUGCAACUCCGCCGAAAUAUCAGCAAUUUGGUUCUGGUAAAGCAUGAACUGGGAUUUUCCAUUCUGACGAGUAAAUGGAGUCUCUGCUUCAGGAGACGCACAGGGAGCAGCUGUCCGAGCCCCGGAGCGAGCUCGGCUCGGGCGAUCUAUCCGGGUGCGGGGCGGCGGCCGCGCCAACUAGAUUCCUCGCCUUCUCCCUUCGAACCGGCCACCAAACGCCGCCGCUCCUUUUCUCAGUCUCCUGGGCUCCAGGAGGAGCGCAGCAUCCGGGCCCUUCCCCCUCCAGCGUCGAAGGUUGCGGGCGGAACUGAGCGCACGCGAGGCUCGAAGGCGACUGCAGUCGGCCCUUCCCGGAGUCCCGCUUCGGGGCCGUCCCUGGGCGCUGCGCGUUGGUCAACGUAACCCGGCAUUUCUCCGAGGAGAGGCCUAAAAAUGAGUGGGGCUGCCGCCCGACUCCUGUGAGAGCCUCGGGGCUUCCAUUCCCGACACCAGGAGGAAAGACCGGCAUUUCUUCCUCGGGCGAAGAACCCAGUUGUCCAGGCUGGGCUCAAAGAUGGGACUCUCUUGCAUCAGCUUUCCAGAGUGCUGGGAUUACACGUGUGCGCCACGGAAUCUGGCUACCGAGCACUUAUUAAAAUUUUUGAUAUGGUUUCCUGGAUGAAACAGUGACAAAAUCAAGAGAGCUAACCUUGCUUACCCUGCCCAACCCACUUGUGUGAUAUGUUAGCUCCCUGGUCCCUGCUUGAUUCAGACACUACAGAAGAUGUGGGCAUUCUGGCUUCAUUGAUGUGAUGUGCUCUCUAUGAAUUAAAAUUGCAAUUAAUUAUUUUACAUGAAAAUAUGCCUUCUAUGAGAGUGAUACAGACUUCAGCAAAUUUUAACAACUUAUUUUGUAUAUUAACAUUUAUUAAAGACUUUCUU
rnacentral:lncRNA from 1 species